rnacentral:lncRNA from 10 species
GGCAAGGGCGCGGAGGGAAGAAUCGGGAGGGCGGCCAGAGCACGUCUCUCUCUCACUUUCUUUUUCUCCAUCUCUCAUUCUGGAACCCUGAGCAACUAUGUAAGAAGUCUGGCUGCCAUGAUGCCACCAUGCUGGAGGGACCACAUGGACAUACCAUGAAGAUAUAUAGAGAAAUGCUUUAGAAACCUCAGCUGUUCCGUCUUUCAGCUAUUUGAGUCUUCCUAGGCCAAGGGCCAGAUAUAUAAACAAAGAAGACUUGAUGGUGACUCCAGCCUUAGUCAACGUCUAACUGCAACCACGUGAGAGACUUUCAACCAGAACUAUGCAGUGGAGCUGCUUCUGAACUCCUGACCCAUAGAAACCAUGAAUGAUAAUAAAUGAUUGCUGUUUUCCUUAAAUGUUUGGUCGCAUUUCUCAGUGAAAUCAUCUGUGCCUAGAAUUUUCUUUCUAGAAAAGUUUCAAACUCCAAAUUCAAUUCUUA